rnacentral:rRNA from 1 species
CAGCAGUAGGGAAUCUUCCACAAUGGACGAAAGUCUGAUGGAGCAAUGCCGCGUGAGUGAAGAAGGUUUUCGGAUCGUAAAACUCUGUUGUUGAAGAAGAACAUAUGUGAGAGUAACUGUUCACGUACUGACGGUAUUCAACCAGAAAGCCACGGCUAACUACGUGCCAGCAGCCGCGGUAAUACGUAGGUGGCAAGCGUUGUCCGGAUUUAUUGGGCGUAAAGAGAAUGUAGGCGGUUUAUUAAGUUUGAAGUGAAAGCCCUCGGCUCAACCGAGGAAGUGCUUCGAAAACUGGUAAACUUGAGUGCAGAAGAGGAAAGUGGAACUCCAUGUGUAGCGGUGGAAUGCGUAGAUAUAUGGAAGAACACCAGUGGCGAAGGCGGCUUUCUGGUCUGUAACUGACGCUGAGAUUCGAAAGCAUGGGUAGCAAACAGGAUUAGA